GGGAGAAGGCAAGUGAGUUCAGGAGGCUGAACCCUGGCAGGAGGCGCCCUUCGAUCUAUUCUAGGUGAAUGAGGUGGUUCUCCCCUUUCCUUUUAGUACCCACCUCCUGUACUCAGAAGACCCUCAAUGCCAACAGAGAGGAAACAAGUCCGGAAACCCGGCCUGCCCCUCCCCCACAACGUUAACUAUCUGCUCAGUGGCAUCGUUUGUUCGUGAUUAAAACCUUCCUCCAAGCCUGUGGUGACCCGGAUGCGCUGGAUCCUCAGCUCAAGGCUACCGGUGAGAGCCAGGACUGCCGGGGCUCACCUCGAUCUGUAUUUGCAGGGCUUGGCUGGGAGACACUCCUUUGGUCUGAAAAGGAUUUUCUGGUUUCCAAGUCGUCGGCUGUCGUCGAGUGAUUGUCUUCCUUAUCCGGCUCUAAAAGGCAGACCGAGUUUCAAGGAGAGGCAAAGAAACCGUGACCCGGAUACUGCAGAGCGGCCUCGGUUGGGGCGCCCAAGCCCUAAUUAAAAACGUCGUGGCCGCCUCUGGUUCCCGGCUGUGCGCCCAGGCGCGCGCCCUGAGGCUUUGGGCCGGGUACCCCCUCCCCUGCACAAGGUCUGCUCCGUUCCGGGCUACACGUCCCCGCCCCAGCCCCUGGCCCCCAGGAAAAGAUCAAGACAAGCAGCUGAGCCCACCAGGGACAAGCGACCUACAUUGCGUGCGCAGAUACUGGGGCACCGGGAGAGCGCGUGGCCGCCGGGUUUGUCCGCGCCACUCCAGCAGAGAUCGUAACCCAAGUGACAACCUUCCGGGCAUUGGUGUUGUAGGACACUGUCCCGCACCCGGCUGCACAGGCCGGCUUAGAUUUCUGUUGCCCACCCCUCACCUCCGCUCUUUCCCAGCUAACAACAGGAUCCCAAAUGCAAAUGCAGGGGUGAUUCUUGAUUGGGGCCGCAGCCUUUUGGGAUACCCUAGAGCGCAGCCACUAGCCCUCACCCUGUGCCCGGAUCAGGCCCGGCCACCCCCUUAAGGCCACCAGCCUAAGGCUAAGCACGUUUCUGGAUAAAUGAAAUGGUGUAAAAGAGAUGUCAGGCAGGCGUAGGUUUUUGGAAAGGUUUAAAUCUCCGAUGAGGUGUACUGGAGAUUGUGCGUGUGUGAGUGAAAGGGGAUGGGUUGGGAUUAUUUUUAAGUAGCCAAACCCUGAGAUUUGGAGUUUACACUUAGUUUUCUUUUUCUUCUAUUGUUUUUCUUCCCCUUUCUCUAUCACCCCUUUUCUCUCCGUCUCUUUCCGCCCCUCCCUUCCUUGAAAGGCCUGCCUUGGCUCUGGGUUCUCUCUGUACUUCCUGCAUUAAAAGGGCCAGAGACCUCAGGAGGCAUUACCGUGGGUCUCUGGGGUGCAGAGGUAAGAGGCCGCGGGCCCCAGCGCCGCCGCCACCGCCGUACUCUUCACGUGUUCGUCCCUUUCAGGCGCAUACACCUGCGACGGCCGAAAAUGACAGGCGAUUAGGCGGGACACCCUUGCCCAGCGGGCCAACAGGAAGGACGAGAGUGUGGCAGAGGUUGGUGGGCCCUGGAGACCUGAACGCAGUGAUGACGUACCGUAGUGGAUUUGGGAUAAUCUUUGGUACUCCGGAACAAAUUACUUAAAACACAAAGCCGCUUUCAAGCCAGCGGCUGUCCAAAGCCACCCCCACGUUCUAUGCUCACUUCCUGAGAGCUACCUUUCCUCUCUGUGUCGUUGCCAGCCUAAAGGAUGGCUUUCUCGCGCGGGCAAUGGUUUCUGCUUUAAUAAACCCAGCGUAAAUGG
rnacentral:lncRNA from 1 species